AACGAACGCUGGCGGCAUGCCUAACACAUGCAAGUCGAACGAAGGCUUCGGCCUUAGUGGCGCACGGGUGCGUAACGCGUGGGAAUCUGCCCUUUGGUUCGGAAUAACAGCUGGAAACGGCUGCUAAUACCGGAUGAUGACGAAAGUCCAAAGAUUUAUCGCCAGAGGAUGAGCCCGCGUUGGAUUAGGUAGUUGGUGGGGUAAAAGCCUACCAAGCCGACGAUCCAUAGCUGGUCUGAGAGGAUGAUCAGCCACACUGGGACUGAGACACGGCCCAGACUCCUACGGGAGGCAGCAGUGGGGAAUAUUGGACAAUGGGCGCAAGCCUGAUCCAGCAAUGCCGCGUGAGUGAUGAAGGCCCUAGGGUUGUAAAGCUCUUUUACCCGGGAAGAUAAUGACUGUACCGGGAGAAUAAGCCCCGGCUAACUCCGUG
rnacentral:rRNA from 1 species